CAAAUUAGUCGACGAAGCAUUCUAUUGGGAAUUGCAAAGUAGGAAGUCCUAUUUUUGACUCUGCUGAUCUCGUGCCUGCUCCUGCUUUUUGAAGAUAUGCCGGUCUUUAUUAAUGACAUCUUCUACCACUGUUAAGUUCACUGUGAGUCCUCGUAAAAUUAAUUAAUGAAACAGUCACUAUUCUAAGUGGGAGACUGCCUUCAGAAGUGGUUUCUACUGCCCAUAUGGUCAAUGCUACGGAAUUAAACACUGAAGUACCAAA